rnacentral:misc_RNA from 1 species
AUUUAACGAACGACUUGUUCUUAACCCACGUGGCGAACACAGCGAGUUAAGAGUUGAAGAACGUAAAUUCAAGAGUUCAAUAUGAGACUGUGGUCGUUACUACCUCUUGCUCUGAUUGUGCUGGUCAGUCUAGGAAGCAUGCAUUCUGUCAGCUCCCAAUCUCCAAUAUCAGGUAUACCGGACAUGUUGAAAGGAAUGUCUAUCAAUGAUAAAGUUGCUCUUAUAGCCGAUAUACUUAUCAAACAACCCGUAUUGUUUGAAAAACUUGAACAUAUUUUAUUGGGCGCACUUCCUUUGAUUUCAACCUUUAAAAUCAAGCCGGAAAUUAACAUGUUCAUACUUCCCUGGGUUUUGGAUAGUAUUCCAAACGUCCUUCAAAAUCCAAUUCUGUUAAAUAUAUCAACUGGCGUAGUGGAUGACAUGAACCACGUUAAUGUCAGUGGUUUGAACACCAGUGGAAUAGAUCCGUUUAUGACUGGAUUCAUGCAGAGAUAUAACCUAGUCGAGUCUGGGAUACGGGCUGCUAUAGACGCCAUCUUAAUCAGCAGAGGCUUAAAUCAACCAUAUUCAAAAUUUGUUGCUUCAAAAUCGACGAAAAUCCUCGAAAAAUAUGGUGAAAAGGUUCUAGAUGCCACCAUAGAAUACAUCAACACAAUCAGUGUGUCGGGUAUUGCAGCAAAUGAUAGCCGGAUGUUUGAAAUGGAAUUCUGGGAAGGCUUCAGUUUGCUCAGCCUUGUCAGUAGUGUUUUAACACCAGUUGAACAAUUUCUUCCGAGAGCUGAGGGGAGUUCAAGCUCACCAAAAUGCUACAAUGAUACCAUGAUAUAUCUAAACAAUCUUCUACAAGGGACAACGUGGGCUGUUAAAAUGUUCGACGCUACCGGUAAACCACCCACGGGUACGCUUACCGGUAAUCUCCACUUCGUCGGUUCUUACGACCAAUGUUUGGCCAUAAAACCGGAGAAGACGGCCACCAACAAGCACCUGUCAGCGACAGGGAGUAGGUACUGCAGAGCCACGUUCGACAUUCCAGCAAAUCUAAUGACCUCGGUGAAAAGUUUUAUCGGAGAUGUGAACACGUAUGGAGUUCCCAUCACUGUCACAUGGGGUUUGUGUCUUCCGUCAACUUGCCAAGAACAUGACGUCACAGACCUGUUUCGAUUAGGUUUUCUUCAAAGUUUCAACCUGACACCAUCAGUUGUCUGCUACAUGUCUCCCGAUCUGCAACACGACGAUGGCGCCAUCAUUUUGAUCUUUGUCCUCUGUUUGAUCGCGGCUAUUUGUUUCAUCGCAACAUUAUUUCAUAUCUACCGAUUUGAUGACGACGGCGAAGAGGAUGAACCCGUGUUUGCCACCUCAACGGCAGACGCGCAUGACAAUAAGGGAUAUAUACCGGAAGUUGAUGACGAAACGACGUUCUCACCAGGACAAAAAAUAGGUCACGUGGCCAAUGGUCACAUUAAUGUAUCUGAUGACGAUUCUUUCCAAAUAAAGGAAUCAGGUUGGAAACAAGGAGUCGCCAAAGCGUUUUCUCUUUACCAGAAUAUACCAGACGUCUUGUCAUUUGAUCACGAUCAAGAUUCCAUCCAAUGUGUUCACGGCAUCCGUUUUUUGAGUCUGGCCUGGCUGGUUUUGGGAAACUCUUUCCUUUUUGCUGCUCUGUCUUUAACUAAAGCACCAGUUACUGGUAAUCUAUUGGAAGGUUUGGAAAUGAUGAAGGGUUUUGCGUUUCAAGCUGUAUUCUCAUCUCCCUUCGCCAUAGAUUCCUUCUUUGUCAUCAGUGGGUUUUUGCUGACUUAUAAAUUUCUCAAUAAAUGUACAAAUAAAGGAAAAGUGGAAUGGCAGGCAAUAUUGGGAUUCUAUUCCAAUCGCUACAUUAGAAUCACCCCCGUGUACAUGGUGAUCAUGGUCUCCUAUGUGUGGCUGUAUCAUUUUGUGGGGGACAGUCCUAUAUAUCCUAAGGCUAUAGGGGUCGCCGAUAAAUGUAAACAAGAUUGGUGGCAUCAUAUUCUAUUCAUCAACAACAUCGUCGGCACAAGAGGAAACGUUGCCUUUGAACAGUGCAUGCCCUGGUCGUGGUUUUUAGCUUGUAUAAUGCAGUUCUACCUGAUCACCCCGAUACUCUUUAUGAUUUAUCUAUGGUCGUCUGCUCUGGGAUCGGUCUUUGUCGGCCUCCUUUUGACAGCAAGCGUUGUAGCGACAGCGAUCAAAGAGAGGAGGUACCCCGGAAACGUUUUGUCCAUGAUGUCUGAUGGCGGAGACUACUGGAAUAAUGUUUUCAUCACCCCCUGGUGUAGGGUCAGUGCCUACUGUAUAGGCGUCCUUCUGGGAUUCUUAUUCGAUACUCUAGAAUCCAGCAAGAAGGUCAAAAUCAGCAAGGUGACGUCAUCAUAAUACCAAGUUUUCAUAAUUAUUUCAUAAAAGUCUUCUUAUAUGCUGAUAUAUUCAAUAUGAAACCAUGUCUUUUUUUUUAAGAAAAGGUUUACCUCAUUUUUUCGUAGAACUGUUAGAUAUUCUUUGCAAAUGUGUUAUUAAAGUUACGCCUCCCUUUUUUUUUAAAGUGGCAGAAUAUUCUUGGAUGGUUGGUUUCUUUCGGGUUGUUCAUCACUGUUGCCUACACCCCGUUCACCAAGAAUCGCGAGGGAGGGUUCCCGUGGACCUCGGUGGAAUCGGCUGUUUACGAGGCCAUGAGUCACGUGGUGUGGGCCGUUGCCAUAUCCUGGGUGAUUUUUGCCUGUACCCAAGGUUAUGGAGGUGUCAUAAACUGGGUGCUUUCCUGGCGCGGUUUCCUCCCUUUGUCACGGUUAUCGUUCGUUGUUUAUCUCAUUCACCCCGUUGUGAUGGUGCUGUUCAUUUACAACAAACAGGUCUUGGUUUAUAUGAAUACUUUUGAAAUGGCAUACAUGUUUCUUGGCCAUUUGAUUAUGUCGUAUGCUGUCGGCCUUCUCUUUUGUGUUGGUGUGGAGAGGCCUUUCAUUCGCUUACUGAAACUAUUGAAGACAAGGGGGCGGAAGUCCUAAACUUUUUUUCCGAUCGGACUCAAAAUGCAUAUUAUAAAAUAAUGUGUACAAUGUAUACAUGAAUUGACAAUGAACAAGCAGCUAGGAUUUUCAAGCUUUUAGUUGUGUUUAAUGACAUGUUUAUUUUCAGUAUUAAUUCUAAUUAUGGUACAUUGUAAAUACUCUGAAAAAUUUUUUCCAUGGAUUAUUAUUUUUUAUCCUUAAAUUGUUCACUCAUACCACUGCAAGUUAAUUAAUUAAUAUGUAAAUGAUUUUUUCAAUGUCCAUUUUGAGAGAGAGAGAGAGAGAGAGAGAGAGAGAGAGAGAGAGAGAGAGAGAGAGAGAGAGAAAGAGAGAGAGAAUAUGGUAUCGCUUAACAAUUACGCAUAUAUUUAUGUAUUUUAAAAAUUGGCAUUAUACAAAAUGUGUAUGCUGAUGUUAAAAUAAAUAUAGAAAUUGUU